UCCUCAGUAGCUCAGUGGUAGAGCAUUCGACUGUUAAUCGAACUGUCGUAGGUUCAAGUCCUACCUGGGGAG
rnacentral:tRNA from 1 species